GGGCUGGGAGGAAAGCUCCCUAGCAGACAUCAAUUCUGCAUCUCUUGGCUGCUGCAGAAAGUUCUUCAAGAAACAGGCAGACCAUCCUGGUCAACAUGGUGAAACCCCG